rnacentral:rRNA from 1 species
UACGUAGGCAGCGAGCGUUGUUCGGAGUUACUGGGCGUAAAGCGUGCGUAGGCGGUGUCUUACGUUUGUUGUGAAAUCUCCCGGCUUAACCGGGAGGGUGCGGCGAAUACUGAGAUGCUGGAGUGCGGGAGAGGUAAGCGGAAUUCCCGGUGUAGCGGUGAAAUGCGUAGAUAUCGGGAGGAACGCCUGCGGUGUAGACGGUUGACUGGACCGUAACUGACGCUGAGGCACGAAAGCGUGGGGAGCGAACAGG